UGUCCUUAGUUGCCAUCAGGUUAUGCUGGGAACUCUAAAGAGACUGCCGGUGUUAAACCGGAGGAAGGUGGGAUGACGUCAAGUCCUCAUGGCCUUUAUGCCCAGGGCUACACACGUGCUACAAUGGGUGGUACAAAGAGAUGCAAUCUCGCAAGAGCAAGCAAACCUCAAAAAGCCAUCCUCAGUUCGGAUUGGAGUCUGCAACUCGACUCCAUGAAGUCGGAAUCGCUAGUAAUCGCGGAUCAGCACGCCGCGGUGAAUACGUUCCCGGGCCUU
rnacentral:rRNA from 1 species